UUUCAGUCUGAUGCCAUCAGUUAUUUCGUUUCCCCGACCCACUGAUGAACUACCCUCUACGAUUCCUCCUCGAAGCUCCGACUGCGAUUCCUUGGGCCCUCCUCCGACUGCGAUUCCUCCCUCGAAGCACCGCCCCUCAACAACUGAACUCCGCUAGUCCACUCGACAACUCCACUCCAGCAGUCGAAGCUCAUGCGUCAGCCCAUUCCCCGCUCCGGAGCCCCUGACCUCCUCGCUCUGUCGAAGCUAUCUGCUCGAUUUCUACCCUAGUUUUCCGUUGUAAUCAGGAAGUAAUGAUGCGAGGCAAACCGGGAUAUGAGCAUCUGAAUGAGCCGCUGCAUAUCUCGUUGAAGGCUGAAUUACAAGUUGAGAACAUUGAUGCCCGUUUGAUUCAAGCACGCGAUUUACUCUUGGAUCUGCUGACACCAAUGGACGAGUCCCAAGAUUUUUACAAGAAACAGCAGCUCCGGGAACUUGUAGUGCUUAACGGAACACUUCGUGAGGAAGGCUCUCCUAUGUCUGGUUCUGUUUCUCCGUAUUAGAACAGCCUUGGUAUGAAAAGGGCCAAAACCUUUUAUACCUGGCAGUGUCUAUUUGAAUUUGUUCUGGAAUUCCAUUUGUACGGUGGCGUAGACACGUGAUUAUAUUUGUUAUUUAAGGCAAUUCUUUGUUGUCUACGCCACCGUACUUCUUUCGAGCGAUUCCACUCUAAUGCGCAAAGAGAACUAUUUACUAAAAUUGGUAUUUGGGUUGAUGCAAAACUUCAUCU